AUACUUACCUGGCAGGGGAGAUACCAUGAUCAAGCAGGCGGUUCACCCCAGGCGGGAAGCUCAAUAGCCACUCCGGCUGUUGACCCUGCAAAUUCCCCAAACGUGGGAGUCUUGACUGCAUAAUUUUAGUGGGGUGCUGCGUCCGCGCUUUCCCCCG